rnacentral:rRNA from 1 species
AGAAUCAACGCUGGCGGCGUGCCUAACACAUGCAAGUCGCACGAGAAAGUGGAGCAAUCCAUGAGUACAGUGGCGCACGGGUGAGUAACACGUGAAUGAUCUACCUCCGAGUGGGGAAUAACCUAGAGAAAUCUGGGCUAAUACCGCAUAACACUUACGAGUCAAAGCAGCAAUGCGCUUGGAGAGGAGUUCGCGGCCGAUUAGCUAGUUGGCGGGGUAAUGGCCCACCAAGGCGAUGAUCGGUAUCCGGCCUGAGAGGGCGCACGGACACACUGGAACUGAAACACGGUCCAGACUCCUACGGGAGGCAGCAGUGGGGAAUUUUGCGCAAUGGGGGAAACCCUGACGCAGCAACGCCGCGUGGAGGAUGAAAUCCCUUGGGAUGUAAACUCCUUUCGAUAGGGAAGAUAAUGACGGUACCUAUAGAAGAAGCCCCGGCUAACUUCGCGCCAGCAGCCGCGGUAA